rnacentral:rRNA from 1 species
AGAGUUUGAUCCUGGCUCAGGAUUAACGCUGGCGGCAUGCCUAAUACAUGCAAGUCGAACGAAAUUUCUUUUUUAAGAAAUUGAGUGGCGAACGGGUGAGUAAUGUAUGUUCAAUCUGCCUCAAAGUGGGGAAUAACUGUUGGAAACGACAGCUAAUACCCCAUAGGGUAAUACAAGGCAUCUUGUAUUGCUUAAAGGUGCAUUUUGCAUCGCUAUGAGAUGAGAACAUAUCACAUUAGCUUGUUGGUGGGGUAAUGGCCCACCAAGGCAAUGAUGUGUAGCCGGACUGAGAGGUUGAACGGCCACAAUGGGACUGAGACACGGCCCAUACUCCUACGGGAGGCAGCAGUAGGGAAUUUUUCACAAUGGACGAAAGUCUGAUGAAGCAAUGCCGCGUGAAGGAAGAAGGUUUUCGAAUCGUAAACUUCUGUUAUAAGGGAAGAAAAUCUAAAAUAGGAAAUGAUUUUAGCUUGACGGUACUUUAUUAGAAAGUCACGGCAAACUAUGUGCCAGCAGCCCGCGGUAAUACAUAGGUGGCGAGCGUUAUCCGGAUUUAUUGGGCGUAAAGAGUGCACAGGUUGUUUAUUAAGUCAAUUGUUAAAUACCGAAGCUUAACUUCGGUCCGCAGUUGAAACUAGUAAACUAGAAUGCAGGUGGGGACAGCGGAAUUCCAUGUGUAGCGGUGGAAUGCAUAAAUAUAUGGAGGAACACCAGUGGCGAAGGCGGCUGUCUGAACUGUAAUUGACACUUAAGCACGAAAGCGUGGGGAGCAAAUAGGAUUAGAUACCCUAGUAGUCCACGCUGUAAACGAUCUAGACUAGUUGUUGCCAAAAAGGCAGUAACGCAGCUAACGCAUUAAGUCUAGCGCCUGGGUAGUAUGCACGCAAGUGUGAAACUCAAAGGAAUUGACGGGGACCCGCACAAGUGGUGGAGCAUGUGGUUUAAUUCGAUGAUACGCGAAGAACCUUACCUACGUUUGACAUACUUGGCAAAACUAUAGAGAUAUAGUGGAGGUUAACCAAUGUACAGGUGGUGCAUGGUUGUCGUCAGCUCGUGUCGUGAGAUGUUCGGUUAAGUCCGGUAACGAGCGCAACCCCUUUCUUAUGUUACUAACAAGUAAUGUUGAGGACUCAUGAGAUACUGCCUGGGUAACCAGGAGGAAGUGUGGGGAUGACGUCAAAUCAUCAUGCCCCUUAUACGUAGGGCUACACACGUGCUACAAUGGCUGUUACAAAGGGCUGCCAAACCGUAAGGUGGAGCCAAUCUCAAAAAAACAGUCUCAGUUCGGAUUGAAGUCUGCAAUUUGACUUUAUGAAGCUGGAAUCACUAGUAAUCGCAGGUCAGCAAUACUGCGGUGAAUACGUUCUCGGGUCUUGUACACACCGCCCGUCAAACCACGAAAGUCGGUAAUGCCUGAAACCGCUGUUCUAACCUU